rnacentral:lncRNA from 1 species
GGAUCCUAAUCAAAAUAAUUCUCAAACACUCCACCUCUUUAUCAUUUUCUUCCAACAAAAUCAACAUACUUUUCCUUUCCUUCUCUCUCUAAAAAUCGGUCAAGAACACCACCCAACAUCUUCAUCUUUUUCAAAUUGAACACACAUUAUUAUCAAGCUAGCAUGAAUGAUUCAAGACUUUGGUGAAGGUUGGGAAUACAUUUGAAGCAUUUUAACAAGUCUUGGAGUUCUUGGAUCAUCACCAUCUUCAUAUCUUCAUCUUUUCAUCAUCUUUUCUACUUGUUCAUCCCUAGCCAAGUGCUAGUAGUCGGGAAACAAACGAAGAAUAUGAAAUCGAAACGAGAUUUGCUUGGAACGCAAAUUAGAAAUUAGUGGAUGGCCUCGGGAAAGUGUGUCCGUGGGAAUGUCAAGUCAAGCUGUGAAAUGUUACCUUGUGUUUAGUCCUUAUGUUUGAAAUAAUGUAUUUGGAAACUUGUGUUUUGGUACAAUAAUGUCAAGUAUGGUACUUUUCGAACAAACGUAUGCUUGUAAAUUUACUUUAAACGAAUGUAUGGAUGAACAUCUUCUCAUGGUUCAAAUAUGUUGUUUACUUGAUU